ACAGUCAAAUCACAUUGAAAACAUCAGUUCUUGUUCAGUCACUGAAGUUAAGCAGUGUUGAGCACAGUUAGUAAUUAGAUGGGGGACCACUUGGGAAUACCAGGUACUGUAAG